rnacentral:rRNA from 1 species
UACGUAGGGUGCGAGCGUUGUCCGGAAUUAUUGGGCGUAAAGGGCUCGUAGGCGGUUUGUCGCGUCGGGAGUGAAAACCUUGGGCCUAACUCAGGGCUUGCUUUCGAUACGGGCAGACUAGAGGUAUGCAGGGGAGAACGGAAUUCCUGGUGUAGCGGUGAAAUGCGCAGAUAUCAGGAGGAACACCGGUGGCGAAGGCGGUUCUCUGGGCCUUACCUGACGCUGAGGAGCGAAAGCAUGGGGAGCGAACAGG